AAUAUAUAAAUUAAUUAAUUAAAUUUAAUAAAAGUAAUUUUAAUAUUAAAAUAAAUAAUGGGGGUUAAAGUAUUUUAAUAGAAAAAAUUAGAAAUUUUAUAGUGAAUUAGUAUAGUAAUAGAAAUUUGAAAUAGAUGAAAAUUAAUUUAAUUAAAAGUAAAUUUAAUUUAUUGUAUCUUGUGUAUCAGAGUUUAUUAAAUAAAAUCUUAAAAUCAAAAUAUCUCGAAUUUAAAAGAGUUAAUUAAUUAAUAAAAUUAAUGUAAAAUAAUUAUUUUAAAUAAUUAAUUUGAAAUGAAAUGUUAAUCGUUUUUAAAUAUAUCUAGUUAUUUUAGAAAAAAAUUUAAUUUUAAAUUUAUUUAUAAAAAAAUUAUUUAAUAUAAUUUUUUAAAAAAUAAAUUUUAUAAUUUAAGGGAUAAGCUUUAAAUUAAAAAAUUAUAAUAAUUAAAAAAAAUUAAAAUUUUUAAAAUUUAUAUUGUUUAAAAAUUAAAGUUUAUUAUAAAAAAUUUUAUAAAAAAUAAAAUUUAAAUUAAAUUUAAUUUAUUAUAAAAAUAUAAUUUAUAAUUAAAAAAUAUUAAAAAAAAUGAUAAAAUUAGUAUAAUAAAAAUAAAUAUAAAAUAAGAUUUAUUUAUAAUAUAAUUAAAAGGAAUUCGGCAAAUUUUUAUAUUCACCUGUUUAACAAAAACAUGUCUUUUUGAAAAAUAAUUUAAAGUCUAAUCUGCCCACUGAUAUAAAUAUUAAAGGGCUGCAGUAUUUUGACUGUACAAAGGUAGCAUAAUCAUUAGUCUUUUAAUUGAAGACUUGUAUGAAAGAUUUGAUGAAAUAUAAACUGUCUCUUAAUUAUUUAUAGAAUUUAAUUUUUUAGUUAAAAAGCUAAAAUAAAUUUAAAAGACGAGAAGACCCUAUAGAGUUUUAUAAUUAUUGAUUAUUAAAUAUUUAUAUAAAAUUUUAAUAUUUAAAUUUAAUAAUUAUUAUGUUGGGGUGAUAAAAAAAUUAAUUUAACUUUUUUUAAUAAUGAACAAAAAUAUAUGAGUAAAUGAUCCAUGAUUAAUGAUUAAAAGAAAAAAUUACCUUAGGGAUAACAGCGUAAUAUUUUUUUUUAGUACAAAUAAAAAAAAAGUUUGCGACCUCGAUGUUGGAUUAAGAUAAAAUUUAAAUGCAAAAGUUUAAAAUUUUGAUCUGUUCGAUCAUUAAAAUCUUACAUGAUCUGAGUUCAAACCGGUGUAAGCCAGGUUGGUUUCUAUCUUUAAAUAAAUAAAAUAUUUUA
rnacentral:rRNA from 1 species